rnacentral:lncRNA from 1 species
UGCCAUGCAAUCCUAACCUCUUUUACUUACCCUAAAUUUCAUAAUUUUCAGGCUUCUACUGAGAAUAAGGAUGGCCAGAGCUCACCAAGCUGCCUCCAGGCACCUAAGCCAGCCAUGACAAUUUAGAGAAAGAGAAAAAUAGACUUGCUCUGUUUGAUUGGGCCCUGGGAAAGUCUGAAGCACAAAGAUAAAAGUGAAAUGGUUCUAUGGAGAUUUGAUGGUGAGAAACCAGACACCUUAGGAUCCAAUACUUCAGCUUCAUCAGUGGAUCCUCCAGAAUGACCUUCUUGCUAUAAAGAGAAUGCUACGUGUUUAUCAACGAUUCAUCGUGACCAGCCUAUAAAGCCCUUGGAUUGAGUAGCCCAUGCGAGUAAAAGGAGCCAAAUACCUACAGCCAAGACAAAGGUUGUUUAUGGAUUAUUUGCAUCAACAUUUCUUGGUGUAGUCAGCAGGAUUUCAGAGAAACCCACUGGAG